rnacentral:rRNA from 1 species
CACUAUCGUUAACUGAAUACAUAGGUUAACGAGGCGAACCGGGGGAACUGAAACAUCUAAGUACCCCGAGGAAAAGAAAUCAACCGAGAUUCCCCCAGUAGCGGCGAGCGAACGGGGAGCAGCCCAGAGUCUGAAUCAGCUUGUGUGUUAGUGGAACGGUCUGGAAAGUCCGACGGUACAGGGUGAUAGUCCCGUACACCAAAAUGCACAGGCUGUGAACUCGAAGAGUAGGGCGGGACACGUGGUAUCCUGUCUGAAUAUGGGGGGACCAUCCUCCAAGGCUAAAUACUCCUGACUGACCGAUAGUGAACCAGUACCGUGAGGGAAAGGCGAAAAGAACCCCGGCGAGGGGAGUGAAAAAGAACCUGAAACCGUGUACGUACAAGCAGUGGGAGCACCUUCGGGUGUGACUGCGUACCUUUUGUAUAAUGGGUCAGCGACUUAUAUUCUGUAGCAAGGUUAACCGUAUAGGGGAGCCGCAGGGAAACCGAGUCUUAACUGGGCGUUAAGUUGCAGGGUAUAGACCCGAAACCCGGUGAUCUAGCCAUGGGCAGGUUGAAGGUUGGGUAACACUAACUGGAGGACCGAACCGACUAAUGUUGAAAAAUUAGCGGAUGACUUGUGGCUGGGGGUGAAAGGCCAAUCAAACCGGGAGAUAGCUGGUUCUCCCCGAAAGCUAUUUAGGUAGCGCCUCGUGAACUCAUCUUCGGGGGUAGAGCACUGUUUCGGCUAGGGGGUCAUCCCGACUUACCAACCCGAUGCAAACUACGAAUACCGAAGAAUGUUAUCACGGGAGACACACGGCGGGUGCUAACGUCCGUCGUGAAGAGGGAAACAACCCAGACCGCCAGCUAAGGUCCCAAAGUCAUGGUUAAGUGGGAAACGAUGUGGGAAGGCACAGACAGCCAGGAUGUUGGCUUAGAAGCAGCCAUCAUUUAAAGAAAGCGUAAUAGCUCACUGGUCGAGUCGGCCUGCGCGGAAGAUGUAACGGGGCUAAACCAUGCACCGAAGCUGCGGCAGCGACACUAUGUGUUGUUGGGUAGGGGAGCGUUCUGUAAGCCUGCGAAGGUGNUGCUGGAGGUAUCAGAAGUGCGAAUGCUGACAUAAGUAACGAUAAAGCGGGUGAAAAGCCCGCUCGCCGGAAGACCAAGGGUUCCUGUCCAACGUUAAUCGGGGCAGGGUGAGUCGACCCCUAAGGCGAGGCCGAAAGGCGUAGUCGAUGGGAAACAGGUUAAUAUUCCUGUACUUGGUGUUACUGCGAAGGGGGGACGGAGAAGGCUAUGUUAGCCGGGCGACGGUUGUCCCGGUUUAAGCAUGUAGGCUGGUUGUCCAGGCAAAUCCGGAUAAUCAAGGCUGAGGUGUGAUGACGAGGCACUACGGUGCUGAAGUAACAAAUGCCCUGCUUCCAGGAAAAGCCUCUAAGCAUCAGGUAACAUCAAAUCGUACCCCAAACCGACACAGGUGGUCAGGUAGAGAAUACCAAGGCGCUUGAGAGAACUCGGGUGAAGGAACUAGGCAAAAUGGUGCCGUAACUUCGGGAGAAGGCACGCUGGUGUGUAGGUGAAGUCCCUGCGGAUGGAGCUGAGACCAGUCGAAGAUACCAGCUGGCUGCAACUGUUUAUUAAAAACACAGCACUGUGCAAACACGAAAGUGGACGUAUACGGUGUGACGCCUGCCCGGUGCCGGAAGGUUAAUUGAUGGGGUUAUCCGUAAGGAGAAGCUCUUGAUCGAAGCCCCGGUAAACGGCGGCCGUAACUAUAACGGUCCUAAGGUAGCGAAAUUCCUUGUCGGGUAAGUUCCGACCUGCACGAAUGGCGUAAUGAUGGCCAGGCUGUCUCCACCCGAGACUCAGUGAAAUUGAACUCGCUGUGAAGAUGCAGUGUACCCGCGGCAAGACGGAAAGACCCCGUGAACCUUUACUAUAGCUUGACACUGAACAUUGAGCCUUGAUGUGUAGGAUAGGUGGGAGGCUUUGAAGCGUGGACGCCAGUCUGCGUGGAGCCAACCUUGAAAUACCACCCUUUAAUGUUUGAUGUUCUAACGUUGGCCCCUUACCGGGGUUGCGGACAGUGUCUGGUGGGUAGUUUGACUGGGGCGGUCUCCUCCCAAAGCGUAACGGAGGAGCACGAAGGUUAGCUAAUCCUGGUCGGACAUCAGGAGGUUAGUGCAAUGGCAUAAGCUAGCUUGACUGCGAGCGUGACGGCGCGAGCAGGUGCGAAAGCAGGUCAUAGUGAUCCGGUGGUUCUGAAUGGAAGGGCCAUCGCUCAACGGAUAAAAGGUACUCCGGGGAUAACAGGCUGAUACCGCCCAAGAGUUCAUAUCGACGGCGGUGUUUGGCACCUCGAUGUCGGCUCAUCACAUCCUGGGGCUGAAGUAGGUCCCAAGGGUAUGGCUGUUCGCCAUUUAAAGUGGUACGCGAGCUGGGUUUAGAACGUCGUGAGACAGUUCGGUCCCUAUCUGCCGUGGGCGCUGGAGAAUUGAGGGGGGCUGCUCCUAGUACGAGAGGACCGGAGUGGACGCAUCACUGGUGUUCGGGUUGUCAUGCCAAUGGCACUGCCCGGUAGCUAAAUGCGGAAGAGAUAAGUGCUGAAAGCAUCUAAGCACGAAACUUGCCCCGAGAUGAGUUCUCCCUGAGACUUUAAGUCUCCUGAAGGAACGUUGAAGACGACGACGUUGAUAGGCCGGGUGUGUAAGCGCAGCGAUGCGUUGAGCUAACCGGUACUAAUGAACCGUGAGGCUUAACCUU